GCCAGCCGCUACAGAACUUAAAGGAAUUGACGGGGCCGCACAAGCGGUGGAGUAUGUGGUUUAAUUCGAUGCAACGCGAAGAACCUUACCUGGUCUUGACAUCCCGGAGACCCUUAGGAAACUAGGGGGUGCUUCCAUCUGGAAGAAUCUGGAGACAGGUGCUGCAUGGCUGUCGUCAGCUCGUGUCGUGAGAUGUUGGGUUAAGUCCCGCAACGAGCGCAACCCUUGCCUUUAGUUGCCAGCAGUUCGGCUGGGCACUCUAAAGGGACUGCCGGUGUUAAACCGGAGGAAGGUGGGGAUGACGUCAAGUCCUCAUGGCCUUUAUGACCAGGGCUACACACGUACUACAAUGGCCGAUACAAAGGGCAGCGACACUGCGAGGUGAAGCCAAUCCCGUAAAAUCGGUCUCAGUCCGGAUUGGAGUCUGCAACUCGACUCCAUGAAGUUGGAAUCGCUAGUAAUCGUGGAUCAGCAUGCCACGGUGAAUACGUUCCCGGGCCUU
rnacentral:rRNA from 1 species